CGCGGGGUCCUCGGCUCCUCCGUGGGAGGGAGAUCUGCUCGGGGUCUGCUCGCUUUGAGCGAUGUCAAUUCUAUCCCUUAAUCCUGCAGGUUUCUCCAAAGUCUUGGGGGCAGAGUGGGGAGAGAGCGAGGCAAAGCGGCUGCCCGGGAGCCUGCGCUUACUUUAGGUGUAAAAGCUGCGCCUCCCAGUGCAGAUGGAUUUUUACAACAGUCAUUCUGAAACUUCAUGGAUCAGGUUUUAUUCCUUCUAAACCUCCUGGUCGCUGUCGCUGUGCAGCAGGAAUUGAUGUCUUGUCCUUACGCCUCGCAGAUCUGACGGGGUUUUCUCGACCUCCAGAAGCUCAGCUGUCCCCCCGAGCGGACCCACGUCCAUCAGCCGCAAACCAAAAGAGCCAAAUCCUUUCUUAAUAUAGCAAAAAAUAUCUUUAUCCCGCCCGAACGUCCUCAGCCGUGUUUGAGGCACUUAACUGCCGACACCGCUGAAACAGUUAAAGUAUUUAGGACACCGUAGAAUGGCCAAAAACUUGGGAAAAACAAGGCGGAUUGGAGAAAGGUCAUCUGAGGCUGGGACUGGGAGAAUUCUCUUCUUUGAAAUCCCCAGCAGAGUUGAGAAGCCGGUACCAACCCUCCUGUUCCCAUGGACUGAGGUCAGCCACAUCCAAAUUUGCUGGGAAUUCUGUAUGUGCAUGCAGACACUUGUUUUCCCAUUUAAAAAAAAAAAUAAAAAGGAGAAAAAUAUAAGUCUGUAAUUGAAGCUGCUGAGACUGCAGUUUCGGAGCAGCCCUGCUGUGAUGUAUCAGUUCCUUCUUCUUCAUUUUCCAGCUUCCCCAGCAUCCUGUUGUGCACAAAUAUAUGUCUGUGCUGCAUCUUUCCCACUCUCCCCCACCACUAAUUCUUGGAUUCUUAGUGAUUAUGCCUGUAUUGCUUAUUUUGCAAGAUGUCUGAUUAUUUGUUUGAAAUAAUAUUGUAUUAUUUUUUAACAGUUCCAAUGGCAAUGUUUGGAAUAUAUGGUUUUUAAGCUCUAGUGUGUUUCUGUACAAAGGCAUUUUUGGCUCCUUAUAUAUUUUGGGCAUUAUUACUGAUUCCAGAGUAAGAUCUCGGCUGUU